UUAUCUUGCCAUUCAUCUGCAUUUUUUUUUUUUUUUUGGACAAGCUACUUGUCAUCAAAUGGAAGAUGUGAUUAUAUUUCAAAAUGAAAUUAAAAAAAAUGAAUUACAGCAUACCCAGGUUCUUUAGCGCAUCUUUUUUUCAGGCCAAUAGUCUAGUUGUUCCCUUUAUAGGCAGCGUAACUGGUUUUGUUCUCAAAUUACUAUGUCCCCAGUUUGCUAUG